UACGGAGGAUGCAAGCGUUAUCCGGAAUCAUUGGGCGUAAAGCGUCCGUAGGUGGCUUUUCAAGUCUGCCGUCAAAGACCGGGGCUUAACCCCAGAAAGGCGGUGGAAACUGAAUAGCUAGAGUGCGGUAGGGGUAGAGGGAAUUCCCGGUGUAGCGGUGAAAUGCGUAGAGAUCGGGAAGAACACCGGUGGCGAAAGCGUUCUACUGGACCGUAACUGACACUCAGGGACGAAAGCUAGGGGAGCGAAUGGG
rnacentral:rRNA from 1 species